rnacentral:rRNA from 1 species
CCUACGGGGGGCUGCAGUAAGGAAUAUUGGUCAAUGGACGCAAGUCUGAACCAGCCAUGCCGCGUGGAGGAUGAAGGUCCUCUGGAUUGUAAACUUCUUUUAUUUGGGAAGAAACUCCCGAUUUCCAUCGGGAUUGACGGUACCAGAUGAAUAAGCACCGGCUAACUCCGUGCCAGCAGCCGCGGUAAUACGGAGGGUGCAAGCGUUCUCCGGAUUCACUGGGUGUAGGGGGUGCGGAAAGGCACAGGUAAAAUCUCCGGGAUUAACCCGGAAACUGCCAUUGAUACUAUUGGUCUGGAAUACUCUGGAGGUGAGCGGAAUAUGUCAUGUAGCGGUGAAAUGCUUAGAUAUGACAUAGAACACCCAUUGCGAAGGCAGCUCACUACGGAAAUAUUGACGCUGAGGCACGAAAGCGUGGGGAUCAAACAGGAUUAGAUACCCCGGUAGUC